AUUGAACGCUAGCGGGAUGCUUUACACAUGCAAGUCGAACGAGUGGCGGACGGGUGAGUAAUAUAUCGGAACGUGCCCAGUAGCGGGGGAUAACUACUCGAGAGGGUGGCUAAUACCGCAUACUAUCGGAGCGACCCAUAUGGGAUUAGCUAGUUGGUGGGGUAAAGGCUCACCAAGGCAACGAUCCGUAGCUGGGUUGAGAGGACGACCAGCCACACUUGGACUGAGACACGGCCCCGAAUCCUACGGGCGGCAGCAGUGGGGAAUUUUGGACAAUGGGCGAAACCCUGAUGCAGCCAUCCCGCGUGUAUGAGAAGGCCUUCGGGUUGUAAAGUACUUUUGGCAGAGAAGCGGUAUCUGCAGAAUAAGCACCGGCUAACUACGUGCCAGCAGCCGCGGUAAUUC
rnacentral:rRNA from 1 species